rnacentral:tRNA from 1 species
GUCUUGGUAGUAUAAGCAUUACUCUG